rnacentral:lncRNA from 1 species
AUGAAUGAAAGGAUUCCCCUUGUUGCUUCGGCACAGUUCUUUCAGGAUUUAGUUGCUCAGACUGGCCUCUUUCUGGCGAGAGUAUUUCUUUUAUUCCUUGAAAUGCCUUCUAGAAAUGUCCCCCUAGCAUCUCUUGGCAAGGUGGGGCUGCAAAGGAUGAGUAGACCCAUCGACAAAGAGGCACUGGCCCAGGGACCCUGUAAGAGCCAUGGAAGGAAUCCAUCUCUACGCACCACUGUUUUGGCAAAGCCUGAAAGGCCCUGGGGAGACAUGGGCAGAGCAGGACAGGGAUGGGGCUGCAGCUGGGGAGUCUGUGGCUCUGGAACUCACAUUUCUCUGAGGCGGUCCCACCUGGCUGACUUCCAGGGCCCGGGGGACGGUGCGGCUGCCGGGGGGGGGGGCAGGCGGCGCUUACUGGUGGGGUACGGAUGCCUCAGUAAACCACCGCAGUUUGGUCUGCAAGGGAGGCGAGAACCAAGCAUGUUGACAGCCUCGCUGCUGGACCCUCCCUCUUGCUCAGGAACCAAAACAGAGGUCUGUGCCCAGGGAAAGGGAAAGUGCUGUGCAGAGGCGGCCUCGGCCUCCGGAAGGAAGCUGGGGGGGUGGGCAAAGAACCUGGGCCCAAUUUGCAGGGUCAAAGUCCUGCUGGACGUGCCCACGAAACAAAGACAAAGCCGGGGGUCGCUGGGACAUCUCACCCUAAGCUCAAAGCUGACAAAGACCGUGUUCUUGUUUUUCACUUUAGAUUCAACAAAAAAGUUUGAGGGACCCUGUGUCCACCUGCAAGGGAGGGAGACCAGUGCCCCGGCAUGCAGUCGUUUGGAGAGGCGAGUCAGCGCCAUUUGCCAGCUUCCCCACAUUAGCCUUCACCAUAUCAAGCACACGGAUUCUGUCAGUCGUCUUCCCCGGCCCUGCUUCCUGCUCCCCCUAGAGCCGCACCCUCCCGAGGAGGCUACGAAGUCCCCCCAGGAGCUCCAAAUCACGAAGACAAAGCUUGCCAAGAGGAGACCCAAGCCAGUUUUCCUGGCGUCGUCUGAAGGACGUUACCCAAGGCUGACGUGA